rnacentral:rRNA from 1 species
GCCCACUGAAGGGCCGAACCUACGUCUGUUGAAAAAGACGAGGGAUGAGUUGUGGAUCGGAGUGAAAGGCUAAUCAAGCUCGGAGAUAGCUGGUUCUCCCCGAAAGCUAUUGAGGUAGCGCCUCGUGUCUCACUCCCGGGGGUAGAGCACUGUUUCGGCUAGGGGGCCAUCCCGGCUUACCAACCCGAGGCAAACUCCGAAUACCGGGAAGUGCAAUCACGGGAGACACACGGCGGGUGCGAACAUCCGUCGUGAAGAGGGAAACAACCCAGACCGCCAGCUAAGGUCCCCAAAUUGCGGCUUAGUGGGAAACGAUGUGGGAAGGCCCAGACAGCCAGGAGGUUGGCUUAGAAGCAGCCAUCCUUUAAAGAAAGCGUAAUAGCUCACUGGUCGAGUCGGCCCGCGCGGAAGAUUCACCG